rnacentral:lncRNA from 1 species
AGAAAUGAAACAAGAUUUGAAGACUAUACAAGGUUUCUAGGCUAAUUGGGUAUUUUUGAACACCAUGGUGAAGUCAAAAAUAUAAAAAAGUAGUUUUACUAGUAAAAAAUAGGAGGACCAGCAGCUAGUAUAGUCCUUGUAGGAAGAGAGGUGCACAAUUCCCAUAUGGAUUGUAGCACCUUGAAUAUAGGUAGAAAGAUA